rnacentral:tRNA from 1 species
CAGGCCGUAGCCAAAGGCAAAGGUGGCGCGUUCGAUAUCCGCCCAGCGUUCACGGUGCAGCGGGAAGUAGCCCACGCUCUCGCCGGUUAACCCGAGUCCGGUCGGCUUACCCA